UACAGAGGUGGCAAGCGUUGUUCGGAAUUACUGGGCGUAAAGCGCGCGCAGGCGGUUCUUCAAGUCAGAGGUGAAAGCCCAGAGCUCAACUCUGGAAUGGCCUUUGAGACUAGAGAACUAGGGUACGGGAGAGGUGAGUGGAAUUCCGAGUGUAGAGGUGAAAUUCGUAGAUAUUCGGAAGAACACCAGUGGCGAAGGCGGCUCACUGGCCCGUUACCGACGCUCAGGCGCGACAGCGUGGGGAGCAAACAGG
rnacentral:rRNA from 1 species